rnacentral:rRNA from 1 species
UACGUAGGUGGCAAGCGUUGUCCGGAUUUAUUGGGCGUAAAGCGAGCGCAGGCGGAAAGAUAAGUCUGAUGUGAAAGCCCCCGGCUUAACCGAGGAAUUGCAUCGGAAACUGUGUUUCUUGAGUGCAGAAGAGGAGAGUGGAACUCCAUGUGUAGCGGUGGAAUGCGUAGAUAUAUGGAAGAACACCAGUGGCGAAAGCGGCUCUCUGGUCUGUAACUGACGCUGAGGUUCGAAAGCGUGGGUAGCAAACA